rnacentral:lncRNA from 1 species
CUUCUCUUUGCAUUUAUAACAUAAUUCACUUCAACAAAUCACAGAAUCCUUUUCUUCCAAUGACACAAACUGUGUUACAAAUGAAAGCUGGUACUGCUGCUUAUCAAAAUAUACAAGACAAUUGAUGUUUUAUAUAAAACCACUUUAUAUGUUACUUGUUCCCAAAAACCGUUGUUUUUUUUUAUCAUUUUCUUUUUUGGCCUGGUUUAAAAAAACGUUGUUACAAAUAUUUACAGCAUUUUCUUCUGUUAGGUGAACACUUUUAUAAACUGAAAAAAGGGAAUUUUAUGAACAGACCACGUAAAACACGAGACAAUGUCAGAGGCGCCUGGCUGUGCUAUUUUUUUUCUUAAAUACAGUACUGAAAAUGCCCAUCAAACCUUUGUCAUCCUAAUCCAUUCUGUUCAUAUUAAACUCCCACUCUCUUAAAGUAGUCUAUUCACCAAUAGAAAAUACAAAGGAAAGGCCGCUUUGCAUUGGAUCUUCUUUCAGAAAGGAGCUUGGGAAAAAAUGCUUAACAGAAAGGAGUUAAAACCAGAACAGUCAGUCUUUGGUCAGAGCAAUGAGGUGACACUUUGAUGCAAAACUUUGCUUAGUCUGCAAUCUUUAUAAUUAGUACGUUUUGGAUAUGGGAUGAAUUAUUUAAAGAUCUGGGUAACAAUGGAAGGGGGAAAAAAGGCCGGAGCAUGAUUUUUUUAAAUGACAUCAAAAAUAGCUAUUUAAAUAUUUAUUAUUACAACUACUACAUAGAAUCAAGAACUAAAAAUAACAUAACAACAACAAAAAUCUGUUUACAGUGCUGAUUCAAGCUGGCCAUAAGCAGCUUUCAAUCAUGACUAUUAUCACCAAGGUCACUGGACCAGAUAAAUAUCCCUGUUCUCUGGAACAUAUGCCUCAGGUUACAGAAACUAAGAUGACUACCACGAAGAUUAGAGCAGCUCUGUUCUUGGAUCUGCACAAUGCAAUAUUCUAUCAAAUAACUGUUGCUCAGCGUUGAGUGAAUUCUGCUUUUAACAGCCUAAAAGGUCUUUUGCAGUCUCCAAUAUUUUGUAAAAUUUCUUUUGUAAAAAUCUUCCUGUGUUCAAAUUAAUGGCUGGACUAGAGCAAAGAGACUGAGAUAUUCUUUUAAAACGUGAGAUGAGCCACUCUGAGAAUCUGAAAAGUGUAAAAAGGGUGGACAAAAAUGACCCUUUAACAAAUUCUGCUUUAAAAAAAUCUGAUCAAGCACUGAAGGGAUAAUUAACAAAAGCAAAGUAGCUAAUUAAAAAGAAGUAACUUUACAUUAUACAAUCACUGAGGCAAUAUUAAAAUGUACUCUUACAUUCAACCAAAAAGAAAGAGGGACAGAGUAUGAGAAAGAACACCCCCCUUCUCAUCCUCUGUAUAUGUGGGCACUUGGUAAUGAAGUUACAUUAACAAAGAAAAGCAAGUUCUUGAGUAUGCGACAAAAAACAAGUAAUCCUGAGACAAAUUCUAAAGGGUGAUAAAGAUCAGACAACAUCCAGAAACCAGGAGUGCAUUUUAUAGCCCCAAAUUGAUAUGCUAUUAACCGGCUAGUGGUCAAAAUGUGAAGAGGCCCACAGGUGUGCACUGAGUUAUUC